rnacentral:rRNA from 1 species
UCCAGACUCCUACGGGAGGCAGCAGUGAGGAAUAUUGGUCAAUGGACGGAAGUCUGAACCAGCCAUGCCGCGUGCAGGAAGACGGCUCUAUGAGUUGUAAACUGCUUUUGUACAAGGGUAAACCUGAAUACGUGUAUUCAGCUGAAAGUACUGUACGAAUAAGCAUCGGCUAACUCCGUGCCAGCAGCCGCGGUAAUACGGAGGAUGCGAGCGUUAUCCGGAUUUAUUGGGUUUAAAGGGUGCGUAGGCGGGCUGUUAAGUCAGCGGUCAAAUGUCGGGGCUCAACCCCGGCCUGCCGUUGAAACUGGCGGCCUCGAGUGGGCGAGAAGUAUGCGGAAUGCGUGGUGUAGCGGUGAAAUGCAUAGAUAUCACGCAGAACUCCGAUUGCGAAGGCAGCAUACCGGCGCCCUACUGACGCUGAGGCACGAAAGCGUGGGUAUCGAACAGGAUUAGAUACCCCCGUAUUA